rnacentral:rRNA from 1 species
AUUGAACGCUGGCGGCAUGCCUUACACAUGCAAGUCGAACGGUAACGCGGGGCAACCUGGCGACGAGUGGCGAACGGGUGAGUAAUGCAUCGGAACGUGCCCAGUAGUGGGGGAUAGCCCGGCGAAAGCCGGAUUAAUACCGCAUACGACCUACGGGUGAAAGGGGGGGAUCGCAAGACCUCUCGCUAUUGGAGCGGCCGAUGUCAGAUUAGGUAGGUGGUGGGGUAAAGGCCUACCAAGCCGACGAUCUGUAGCUGGUCUGAGAGGACGACCAGCCACACUGGGACUGAGACACGGCCCAGACUCCUACGGGAGGCAGCAGUGGGGAAUUUUGGACAAUGGACGCAAGUCUGAUCCAGCCAUGCCGCGUGCGGGAAGAAGGCCGUCGGGUUGUAAACCGCUUUUGUCAGGGAAGAAACGCUCUGGGUUAAUACCUCGGGGUAAUGACGGUACCUGAAGAAUAAGCACCGGCUAACUACGUGCCAGCCGCCGCCGUAAUAC